UAGGGAAUCUUCCACAAUGGGCGAAAGCUUGAUGGAGCAACGCCGCGUGUGUGAUGAAGGGUUUCGGCUCGUAAAACACUGUUGUAAGAGAAGAAUGACAUUGAGAGUAACUGUUCAAUGUGUGACGGUAUCUUACCAGAAAGGAACGGCUAAAUACGUGCCAC
rnacentral:rRNA from 1 species